UACGUAGGGUGCGAGCGUUGUCCGGAAUUAUUGGGCGUAAAGAGCUCGUAGGCGGCUUGUCACGUCGGAUGUGAAAGCCCGGGGCUUAACCCCGGGUCUGCAUUCGAUACGGGCAGGCGUAGAGUUCGGUAGGGGAGAGUCGGAAUUCCUGGUGUAGCGGUGAAAUGCGCAGAUAUCAGGAGGAACACCGGUGGCGAAGGCGGGUCUCUGGGCCGAUACUGACGCUGAGGAGCGAAAGCGUGGGGAGCGAACAGG
rnacentral:rRNA from 1 species